AGCAGUGAGGGGCUCAGCUCAACCUGUGUGUUCUCUCAGAUAUUACGGAAGGUUUCGAACAGUAAAACAUUCACCAUGGAGCUGCAACUCUAAUGCAGAAGAGGAAUAAGCAAAAGUGUAGAGGCAGCAGUAAAAUAUCAAGAACUUGUGUAGGAAGGUCAAGAGUCUGUGAACCCCUGUGCACAGGAAAGAGCUAGAAAAUGCGGACAGCGAGAGCAGUCUGUGAGAAAGCCCAUCGGUGUUGUCACUGGAAUCAGCAAUAUCCCUUCUGCUUGCAUUUCCUAGAUGAAGAUAAUAAUUACAGGAGCAAGACUUAUAUACAUGGAUCGUGGUACUACUGGAUCACUAUACAAAAAGUGAGAGGGAGAAAAAAAAUCCUACAUUCUGAAGUGGAAGAACGUAUGUAUGUCCUUGCCCAAUCUCUUUCAAAUUGCUUUUCCUGGUUACAUCCAGAGGCCUUUACCCCCUUGUAAUUCUCUCCAGUAUGCAACCCGGCUGAUCACAUCUAUGAUUGCUAAUCAAAAUCCAGGUACCGUGUGACAUUAUCCCCUGAACUCAUUUUGAAAGAUUAUUUAAAUAUCUGCUUGAUAUUGAUUUACUUCAUCCCUUUAUCCUCCAUUUCAUAGUAUUUGACCCGAAGUCAACUACUCAAUCCCUUCACAGAGGCAUAUGAAUUAUGUAUUUCUUGUAUUCAUCUCUGGUAUAAACAGACGGCAGCUUUGUAUAGUUAUUAAAACAUCCCU
rnacentral:lncRNA from 1 species